GGUGAGAUGUCCGAGUGGCUGAAGGAGCACGCCUGGAAAGUGUGUAUGCGCGAAAGUGCAUCGAGGGUUCGAAUCCCUCUCUCACCGCCA
rnacentral:tRNA from 11 species